rnacentral:rRNA from 1 species
GACGAACGCUGGCGGCGUGCUUAACACAUGCAAGUCGAACGGAAAGGCUCCAGCUUGCUGGCGUACUCGAGUGGCGAACGGGUGAGUAACACGUGGGUAAUCUGCCCUGCACUCUGGGAUAAGCCUGGGAAACUGGGUCUAAUACUGGAUAUGACCUUUCUCCUUAUGGGGUUUGGUGGAAAGUUUUUCGGUGUAGGAUGAGCCCGCGGCCUAUCAGCUUGUUGGUGGGGUGAUGGCCUACCAAGGCGACGACGGGUAGCCGGCCUGAGAGGGUGAUCGGCCACAUUGGGACUGAGAUACGGCCCAGACUCCUACGGGAGGCAGCAGUGGGGAAUAUUGCACAAUGGGCGGAAGCCUGAUGCAGCGACGCCGCGUGAGGGAUGACGGCCUUCGGGUUGUAAACCUCUUUCAGCAGGGACGAAGCGUAAGUGACGGUACCUGCAGAAGAAGCACCGGCUAACUAUGCG